rnacentral:rRNA from 1 species
GACGAACGCUGGCGGCGUGCCUAAUACAUGCAAGUAGAACGCUGAAGGAGGAGCUUGCUCUUCUGGAUGAGUUGCGAAAGGGUGAGUAACGCGUAGGUAACCUGCCUGGUAGCGGGGGAUAACUAUUGGAAACGAUAGCUAAUACCGCAUAACAGUAGAUGUUGCAUGACAUUUACUUAAAAGGUGCAAUUGCAUCACUACCAGAUGGACCUGCGUUGUAUUAGCUAGUUGGUGGGGUAACGGCUCACCAAGGCGACGAUACAUAGCCGACCUGAGAGGGUGAUCGGCCACACUGGGACUGAGACACGGCCCAGACUCCUACGGGAGGCAGCAGUAGGGAAUCUUCGGCAAUUGACGGAAGUCUGACCGAGCAACGCCGCGUGAGUGAAGAAGGGUUUCGGAUCGUAAAGCUCUGUUGUAAGAGAAGAACGAGUGUGAGAGUGGAAAGUUCACACUGUGACGGUAUCUUACCAGAAAGGGACGGCUAACUACGUG